rfam:Planctomycetes bacterium RBG_13_63_9 RBG_13_scaffold_71489, whole genome shotgun sequence.
GCGGGUGUAGCUCAACGGUAGAGCCAUAGCCUUCCAAGCUAUUGACGAGGGUUCGACUCCCUUCACCCGCU